UACGAAGGGUGCAAGCGUUACUCGGAAUUACUGGGCGUAAAGCGUGCGUAGGCGGUUUGUUAAGUCCGUUGUGAAAGCCCUGGGCUCAACCUGGGAAUUGCAGUGGAUACUGGCGAGCUAGAGUGCGGUAGAGGAUGGUGGAAUUCCCGGUGUAGCGGUGAAAUGCGUAGAGAUCGGGAGGAACACCCGUGGCGAAGGCGGCCAUCUGGACCAGCACUGACGCUGAGGCACGAAAGCUGGGGUAGCAAACAGG
rnacentral:rRNA from 1 species